AUGAGGUCCCCCCUCCCCACUCCCUCUCCCUUGGAUGGCAGGUCAGGCAGUGAGCUGUGCGGGCUCAGAGGAGCUCAGAUGCUUCGGACCGCUGGGAGGGGAUGCUUUGGACCGCGGGAAGAGGAUGCUGAUGGAGAGUGGUGCCCAGCGUCGUCCCUGAACCACAGCUGGGCGAGUGGGCAAUGUAACCGGGCUCAGCAGCUUCUAUGGACACCAGUGUCUGUUCCGGAGACAAUCCAGGAGUUGGCAUUGCACUUGAUGGCAGAGCUUU
rnacentral:lncRNA from 15 species